rnacentral:rRNA from 1 species
GGAGUUUGGACUGUGUCUCAGUUCCAAUGUGGGGGACCUUCCUCUCAGAACCCCUACUGAUCGUCGGUACGGUGGGCCGUUACCCCGCCGUCUGCCUAAUCAGACGCAUCCCCAUCCCUUACCGAUGAAUCUUUGCUCCUCAUUAGAUGCCUGCAAAGGAGAACAUAGAGUAUUAAUCCGACUUUCGCCGGGCUAUCCCCUAGUAAGGGGAAGGUUGGAUACGCGUUACUCACCCGUGCGCCGGUCGCCAUCAAAGGAAGCAAGCUUCCUUCAUGCUGCCCCACGACUUGCAUGUGUUAAGCCUGUAGCUAGCGUUCAUC